GCGAAAGCCUGAUCCAGCCAUGCCGCGUGUGUGAAGAAGGUCUUCUGGAUUGUAAAGCACUUUAAGUUGGGAGGAAGGGCAUUAACCUAAUACGUUGGUGUCUUGACGUUACCGACAGAGUAAGCACCGGCUAACUCUGUGCCAGCAGCCGCGAUAAUAAGA
rnacentral:rRNA from 1 species